GGAUGCGAUCAUACCCGCACUAAAGCACCGGAUCCCAUCAGAACUCCGAAGUUAAGCGUGCUUGGGCGAGAGUAGUACUAGGAUGGGUGACCUCCCAGUCCUCGUGUUGCAUUCC
rfam:Triticum aestivum genome assembly, contig: Triticum_aestivum_CS42_TGACv1_scaffold_432685_5BS